rnacentral:tRNA from 1 species
GGCCUGUUAGCUCAGCUGAUUAGAGUGUGGUGCUAAUAACGCCAAGGUUGUGGGUUCGAUCCCCACAUGGGCCA